AACCAAUCAAUGGAAAGUUGAUUGUUGUUAUGUUCUUAAACUACCUUCAGUUUUGAGGUGUUUGUGCCCUAAGAAACACUUGAGUUUAGCUCCACCCACAACUAGGAUAUAAGCCAAUGAAAACUUGUAUUUUGGAAUAUUGCGCCAAAAACGCGGGUAUAGAGCCAGCGCCUAGUGCUGUGGCGCAUGCGCAGAUUGCGAAAGGCGCUGGAAGAUAGUGGAGGUUUCGCCAUUUUGCGGGAAGAGGAGCAGCUCCGGCUGCAGUGCUGCUUUCACAGCUGAAACUGUAGGAAAUAGCUGAACUUCGCGCCCCCCCACACACCUAAAGGAACUGAGAAAACCGGAACUCCCCCUGCGGGGACCCGGAACUGUCAACCAUGGAUUGAAACUGGUGAACGGGACAUUUCUGUUAUCCAACAUCCUGAGAAUGGAGAAGCAAUUCUUACACAGUUUUCAAGGACUCAAGGAAGAAAGUUUAAGAUGACUUAUCACACCACUUGCUUCUACUGGAGAAGUAAAGGAGCCAAUUGAAAACUCCUAAGGGAAAGGAAACCAGCCAGUAUUAAGCCAGAGAAGAAGGAAAAGGAAAGAGAAGUAGAUAACUCAAAAAUCAUAAAAAGAAGCUGACCAACUUUGACGACAACUGUAGGAUGAGUGAAAGAAAAGAAAGAGACGAGUCAAAAUUGACUCCAAGGAACUUGACACUGGGCAUGAGUGGACAGUGGAAUUAGGAAUAUAGAGUUUGAUUGAAGUCUGAAUUGUAAUGUUAGAUUCUGAGAACCUAUCUUCAACAUAAAAGUAAAAUGCAGAAAGAGAACAAGCACAGAAAAAGGGCUGGCUUUGAAUUUAGAAUCCUCCCAUCGCAUUCUCCAAGAGCUGGGAGUGCCAAGAUUUCAGGUGUGUACCACUACUCCCAGUCCUUUUAUUUCUUUUAAAGUUAGGUUGUAAACCACAUGAGAGGGAGGGCUGAUGAUUUAGCUCAGUGGCGCCAUACCUGCCUAGCAAGCACAAAGUCCUGAGUUUGAUUCCUAGUACUAAAACCAAAAACACCAACAAAAUAAAAAUAUGAGAGAGAAGUAACCUGGCUAGAACAUUAGACUGAGUCAGAAGACCUAUGAUCAAGAGGUCCUAUGAGCUAUAUGACUUUGGACAGUUCACAAAACCUCACUUUUAAAGAUCUAAAUGGAUCAUUCAGCUGGGCAUGGUAGCAUAUGCCUGCAAUCUCAGUACUUGGGAGCUGAGUCAGGAGUAUUGCCACAAGUUUAUGGCCAGUCUGUACUACAUAUUCGUUUAAAGCCAGCCUGAAUUACAUAGCAAGACCCUGUCUUUUAAAAAAAAAUCUGGAUGAAUGAAUCAGACAUUAUCUGCUUUCAGCAUAUAUUGCCUUUGAUUGGUAAGUAGAUAAUAAGGUUGUAUGUGCUACCAAAGGGAGCCUGAAAUGUGAGGUUACUGUAAGAUAUUCACUAGAUUUUAGAUAACACCUAUUUAAUUUUGUCUUGAUUUCCAGUUUAAGCCUUAAAUUCAGCUCCAAGUACUCUUUUCCAAGAAUCCUCUCUCUAUAAUGUGCCCAACGCAGUGCCUAGCAAUUGUAGGUACUAUCAGUGGUGGGUGUAAUUAUUUUCACUUACCAAGUCAUCAUAUCAGGGUGUGGGCUCUGAGGGUAACCAGGAAUUGCAUCAGUAGAUGGUAUAUUAGCUGCUUUAAAGAAGAUAAAGCUUUUGUGGCUAUGAAAAGUGAUUUUGUCAGCCUCUUUGCAUCAUUGAUGUGUAUGUAAUUGGUGUACAAUAAAACUAAAGUGUACAUUCUGGGGGUUUUGAUAUGUAUAAACAU